rnacentral:lncRNA from 1 species
UUGGAUAAUUUUGAUUUUUUAUUUGAGAGUAAAGGGUGAGAAGUAAAAGUUUAGGGGGGAAGUAAAAAGUUUUGGGGAAUAAAAGUUUGAGGGAAAGUAAAUAGGGGGAGUAAAAUUUUGGAGGGAAAAUAUUAAAAAAAAUUGGAGGGGGGAGGGUUUGGGGUAGAUGAGAGGUGGGAUGAUAAAAGUGUUAGGGCAAAAGUCGGAGGGAGUAAAAAUUUUGGGGGAAAAUAAAAGGUUUUGUGGGUUUUGAGGGUUUUUGGGAGUAAAAUUUUAAGAAAAAGUAAAUGGGAGAGUUAAAUUUUGGAGGGAAAUAAAUUUUGGGUAGAUUGGAGGGGAGUAAAAGUUUUGGGGGAAAAGUGGGAAGGAGUAAAAGUUUUGAGGGAAAAGUAAAAUAUUAUAGUUUGAUAUUUGAAUUAUUCGAGUUAUUCGAAUUUGAAAACUCAACUCGAUUCGAACUCGAAAUUUGAAAAAAAAAUUUGAGUUGAUUCAAAUAACUCGAAUAACCCGAUUCGUUUAACUCGAAAUUUGAUUUUUUUUUUAUUUUUUUG